rnacentral:lncRNA from 1 species
CCGAGUAGCUGGGACUACAGGCGCCCGCGACUACGCCCGGCUAAUUUUUUGUAUUUUUAGUAGAGACGGGGUUUCACCGUGUUAGCCAGGAUGGUCUUCGUCUCCUGACCUCGUGAUCCGCCCGCCUCGGUCCCCUAAAGUGCUGGGAUUACAGGCAUACACUCUUAAGUAACCUGGUGGGGACCCAUCAAACUACAAAGGGUUAUAGCUACUCUUACAGAAGACAUAAGAAGAUAUAUACGCAGAGAAGACAUCAUAAGACCUGAAGAUGAAAAACUUCUGAUCACAGAAGAAAGAUAUACAACAGCCUUGAAGCAUUCUGAGAACCCAGUGAAGGCAAUAAUGUCUCUUCCCAGAGAAAUUCACAGAAUUAUGCAAACUUGGCUCAAUUGUCUUCUGGCAUAAUUGGUGCUACAGAGAACAUUGAGAUCUGGGCUACAUUUUGCCAAGGAGAGGAACAUCUGUGGAGUCUGGAAAGUGGAAGUAAAUCGGAAGCUUUAUUCUCUGGAGGUGGUGGCUGCCAGAUGAACAUGCACAUAUGAGUCAGCCUCAGGCAGAUUUGUUCUCUUACCUGAAUUCCCAGCCCUGUCUUCUGCCAUUUCUGGGACUGCAUGGAGCCUGACCCAGCAGUGGGCACAGAAACAUGCAGGUGCAGAAAUACUGAGGAUGAAAAGCUUACUGUAGCUUUGCAACAGCUUGAAGAUAUUGAACUGAAAUCUGAAAUGCGUUAAGGAGCAAGACACAGAAGACAUGGAGAUCCAUGUAGAAUCAUAAGAAGGUAAAGAAGAAGGAAAAAAUGUAGCCCCUAGAAGCUUGGAACUGCCCUCAGACUACAGCCAGGAAGCAGACAGGGACUUCAGUUCCACAGCCACAAGGAGCUGAAUUCUGCCAACCAGAAUGAGCAAGAACAUGGAUUCUCCCCUCAAGCCUCCAGAAAAGAAUGCAGCCUACAGUCAGCACUUUAAGUCCCAUGCAACCUAUAAUAGAUUUCUGACCUACAGAGCUUUAAUGUCAUAAAUUGGUGUUGUUUUAAGUCAUGAAGUUUGUGGUAGCUUCUUAUGACAGUAAUUGAAAACUAAUACCUGGUCUUUUUAGCAGAAUAACGAGCACCCUGUAAUGUGUCAUUCAUGCAUAUCUUUUUUUUUUUUUUUUUUUUGGUGGGGGCAGGAAGACAAAACUCUAGAGUUUAAUCUUCCAGCUGACUGACUUGGAAGUGUUCCUGUCAAUAUAAAAGAUCUUGUUGGGGG